rnacentral:lncRNA from 10 species
AAAAUAUUUUAAUUAGGAAAUUUUAUGCCUCUUUUGAUUUUAAAAUUGAAAUUAUCUAUUGAUACUACUUUUAACAGAGUCUCUUUGAGAGUUCUACAAAGAUUCAAGUGUGUACACCUGAGUCUAUUUAUCAAAGUGUAACGAAGCAUAUAAAUAGAGAAGUAGAAGAGCCUCCUGAGAAGUCAUCUGCCUUCAAGCCUGCCACUGAAAUACAAAACUCUGUUCCAAAUGAAGCCUUCGAAUGCAAGAAGGAACAACCUUUGACAGCAGAUCAGAUGAUCCCAUCAGAAUCCAAACCAAAGGACAAUGAAGAAAAUUCUUGGGAUCUAGAGAGUGACCGUGAGACUGUUUCACAGAAGGAUGUGUGUUUACCCAAGGCUACACCUCAAAAAGAACUCCAUACGAUAAGUGGAAAAUUAGAAGGUAAGAACCAUUUUUUAUUGAAAAUGUCAUUUGACCAAAUAUUUCUCUAAACUGAUGAGGAAGGAUAUCCUCUAAUAGCCAAAGAAAAUUACCUCCUAAAUGCAAAGCAUGGAAAAAAAGAGAAGUGAAAGUUGAAUGGAGAUAAGUUAUACGUCUUAUCAGGUGUUAGCAACAGACUAUAUUGAGAGCGCUGAAAAGGAGCUGAAUUACUAGUUUGAAUUCAAGAUAUUCCAAGACCUGAGGAAAAUGAGAAAAUAAGAAAGAAGAAAGUAGUAAAAGAGGAAAUGAAGACUGAGAAAGUAGAGCGUACAGAGAGUACAUGAAGGAACAAG